AGAGUUUGAUCCUGCGUCAGGACAACGCUGGCGGCGUGCCUAACACAUGCAAAGUCGAACGGAACUUAGUUGAAGGAAUUCUUCGGAAGGACAUUGGUUAAGUUUAGUGGCGGACGGGUGAGUAACGCGUGAGUAACCUGCCUCCGAGAGGGGAAUAACAAUCUGAAAAGAUUGCUAAUACCGCAUAACAUAGCGAAGUCGCAUGGCAGCGCUAUCAAAGAUUUAUCGCUCGGAGAUGGACUCGCGUCCGAUUAGUUAGUUGGUGAGGUAACGGCUCACCAAGACCGCGAUCGGUAGCCGGACUGAGAGGUUGAACGGCCACAUUGGGACUGAGACACGGCCUAGACUCCUACGGGAGGCAGCAGUGGGGGAUAUUGCGCAAUGGGGGAAACCCUGACGCAGCAACGCCGCGUGAAGGAUGAAGGUUUUCGGAUUGUAAACUUCUUUUAUUAAGGACGAAAAAAUGACGGUACUUAAUGAAUAAGCUCCGGCUAACUACGUG
rnacentral:rRNA from 1 species